UACGUAGGGUGCGAGCGUUAAUCGGAAUUACUGGGCGUAAAGCGUGCGCAGGCGGCGCGUUAAGACAGGUGUGAAAGCCCCGAGCUUAACCUGGGAAUUGCGCUUGUUACUGGCAAGCUAGAGUGCGUCAGAGGGAGGUGGAAUUCCACGUGUAGCAGUGAAAUGCGUAGAGAUGUGGAGGAACACCGAUGGCGAAGGCAGCCUCCUGGGAUGACACUGACGCUCAUACACGAAAAGCGUGGGGAGCAAACAGG
rnacentral:rRNA from 1 species